GACGAACGCUGGCGGCGUGCUUAACACAUGCAAGUCGAACGAUGAUGCUACCAGCUUGCUGGUGGUGGAUUAGUGGCGAACGGGUGAGUAACACGUGAGGAACCUGUCCUUGACUCUGGGAUAAGCCUGGGAAACUGGGUCUAAUACUGGAUAUGACCAAUUGUCGCAUGGUGGUUGGUGGAAAGAUUUGUUUUGGUCAAGGGUGGUCUCGCGGCCUAUCAGCUUGUUGGUGGGGUAGUGGCCUACCAAGGCGAUGACGGGUAGCCGGCCUGUGAGGGUGACCGGCCACACUGGGACUGAGACACGGCCCAGACUCCUACGGGAGGCAGCAGUGGGGAAUAUUGCACAAUGGGCGGAAGCCUGAUGCAGCAACGCCGCGUGGGGGAUGACGGCCUUCGGGUUGUAAACCUCUUUUAGCAGGGAAGAAGCGAGAGUGACGGUACCUGCAGAAAAAGCGCCGGCUAACUACGUGCCAGCAGCCGCCGUAACAC
rnacentral:rRNA from 1 species